CUCACCAUGGGAUGGAGCUGGAUCAUCCUCUUCCUGAUGACAGCAACUACAGGUGUCCACUCCCAGAUACAGCUGCAGCAGUCUGGGGCUGAGCUGGUGAGGCCUGGAGCCUCAGUGAAACUGUCCUUCACUGGCUACAGCUUCACUGGCUACUAUAUGCACUGGGUGAAGCAGAGGCCUGGGCAGGGCCUGGAGUGGAUUGGAAGAAUUGAUCCAUCAGAUGAUGAAACUAAAUAUGCACAGAAGUUCCAGGGCAAGGCCACACUAACUGCAGACAAAUCCUCCAGCACAGCCUAUAUGGAGCUAAGCAGUCUGACAUCUGAGGAUUCUGCAGUCUAUUACUGUGCAAGACACACAGUGUUGCAACCACAUCCUGAGUGUGUUGGAAACCCUGCAGGAGGAGGAAACUGCCCUGGGACUGAGAUGAUAGAGAGGAACACCCUCGAGAUUUGCCAACAAAUAAUCACACUGAGUGUCCCUUUGUUACUUCCCAGAGUUAGAGAGAUUAGUCAAAUUUUCAAAAGGACUGCAGCGAAUAAGUUAGGAUGA